UAUGACCAGCUAUGUAUUAGGGCUGCGCAAAAUUUCUCUGGCAGUUUCAUUUUGAUGCUGUUUCGACGUGUUUCAAGCUCAAAACAG